rnacentral:rRNA from 1 species
CCUACGGGUGGCUGCAGUGGGGAAUAUUGCACAAUGGGCGCAAGCCUGAUGCAGCCAUGCCGCGUGUGUGAAGAAGGCCUUCGGGUUGUAAAGCACUUUCAGCGGGGAGGAAGGCGGUGAGGUUAAUAACCUCAUCGAUUGACGUUACCCGCAGAAGAAGCACCGGCUAACUCCGUGCCAGCAGCCGCGGUAAUACGGAGGGUGCAAGCGUUAAUCGGAAUUACUGGGCGUAAAGCGCACGCAGGGGGUCUGUCAAGUCGGAUGUGAAAUCCCCGGGCUCAACCUGGGAACUGCAUUCGAAACUGGCAGGCUAGAGUCUUGUAGAGGGGGGUAGAAUUCCAGGUGUAGCGGUGAAAUGCGUAGAGAUCUGGAGGAAUACCGGUGGCGAAGGCGGCCCCCUGGACAAAGACUGACGCUCAGGUGCGAAAGCGUGGGGAGCAAACAGGAUUAGAUACCCGAGUAGUC